UGCCAAGAAACUCCUCCCCAACCUCCUCGUGGUACUGGCCGGGCUACGAGUAACCUUGGAGAACUUUAGUCGUAUGAUGACAAGAAAGG
rnacentral:ribozyme from 1 species